UGUUCCAGACAUUGUUUGAAACUAAUUUUUAAUUUUUAUGUGUUAUAUAAGCUUUUGAUCUUUAUUAUUUUCUAUAGGAACUUCCAUAGGUAGAUCAUUUACAAAAUCUCAUCAUUCAUCAGACUCCCUACUAUUCCUGGAAGGUGGUACUCACUUAUCUGGAAGCAGAGUCCAUAGCAAAGAACACCUAGCUUAAUUCUAUAAACAGUCUUCGUGAAAGGGAAACAGUGUUUGCCGUUCUCUUUCAGGAGGCCUGAAAAAUUUGGUUCUCCUUAGUGACAAGUGAAUCUGUAGUUUAUCAGUUCCCAAGGAGAUGCCUAAGUAGGUUUCCAAACAAUGAUCUACGAAGACUUUUCCUUUUUUUUUUUUUUCUUAGCAUUUUCUUGAUUGUACGCGAUAGGGAAAGAGUUAGUGAUACAAUGUUAAGUAAAAGCUUCUGUUCUCUUUGUUCUCAGAAGGCAGUCAUUCUCUAUGGUUGUGAAUAUGGUUUCUUUCUAAAAUAUCUAUGAAGAGUGUAUUUCUCCAGCAGUGACUCCUGUGAGAUCCAGCCUCCAGCAGCUUGAGAUGCAGUCUUUCUUGGUAUCAACGGCUUUCUGAAAAUACGGACUUUAUUUUUUUUUAAGCAUGAAUAUGUUUUGUAUGUUAAUUGUGAGGUAAUGGAGCCAGUUUGUUUUUAUUUAUCAAGUGUCCCACCCAUGCAAGGCCAUGUGAGAAGAUUCCCCUGGCUCCUAUCAGGAAGCAGAAGUAUGCUGCCAUGUGUCUGUAUGACCUAAACUGACCCAGCCCUGUGGUGCCUAGCACCUUCCCUGGAGAACCUUGCCAUGCUGUCACUGUACCAAAUACCUUCCCACCCAAGCCCUUCCAUGUGUUCUUUCUACCUAGAAUGUUCUUCCCUGGACUCUUCACCACGCUAAGCCCUACUUGCUCUUCAAGACUCAGCUCAUUACUUCCUGUGGGAAAUCUUUGCUGCCGGGCAUCUUGCAGAAUUCUUUUGGCAGGUAGUCCUUUCCCUACUGUAGGACUUCCUUCAAUGUGUUAUCAUGGCUUGUUUACUAUUAGAUCCUUUAAGGCAGGAAAAUGUGUAUGCAGUUUUAUCCGUACCUCUUAGUGCGUGGCACUUAGCAGGCAUUCAACACAUAUUUGUUUAUAAUGCUAUUUAUUUAAAUAAAUGAAAGUCUGCCUGCUGGCUACUGAGGCCUGUGAAAAACUGGCUGAGCUAGAUAGAGGUCAUGCAAACAAACAUACAAACCAGACGCCCCAGGGAAGCCUCAGCACUGGCAACUAGUACAACAUCCAGUUGAAUGAUGAUUGUUUUUUUGGUAAGUGACUAUAUAGACAAGAGAGGUACAGUUACAGUAAUCUGUACCUUAGGAUUGUUAGAUAGGCAUGCACAUUCAUAAAUCCCUGAAACUGAACAAAAUGUUUCAUCUGCAUUUAAGCAAAAUUAAACUUUUAAAAAAUAAAGUAUAAAAUGUUUAUGAGUUAAGAUUCAGUUUUGAUCCUCAAAUCAAAACACAUGCCUCAGUCUGUCCUCAAACCACACACAGGAUUUUAAGUCCUGCCCUUUUUUCCCCCGGAAGCCGAAAAAACCUCUAAAUAUGCUGACAGGCAGUCAUUUUUCUACCCUCUCUAAUUUUUCUUCCAUUUUAGUUUAAAAAAACACAGAACUUUCAUGGACAGAUAAUUCAGGUUUGCGCAAAGGGAAUGAAUACAUUUGUUACAAACAAAUAACAAACCUGUUAGGUUUCUCUUCCGCUCAGCAAGGAAGCUAUUUGCCCCGACCACAAAUGCUAAUGAACUGCUUACAUGCACUGGGGUGUGUGCGUCUGUGUUUAAAAAUAGGAUCUGGGUAUAAAGCUGCAAACUUCAGGGCUGCAAAGCUGGCAGCUUGGUAUUACAUAAAAAUACCCAGCUGAUGGACAUCCAGAACCAACACUUGCUGUAAUAGCACACAGCAAUUUCGUCAAUUUUUACUCUUAUCAGCACAAGUUGUUAACCUGGAAAACGGUGGCAGAGCCAUCCUCUCUUAGACUAGAAACUCAGUCUAUCGAUGCAGACCUCUGUCUGUAGAUCCCUCUCCUGUGAGGAAAAUGAACAUGAAACAGAAGAGUUCCUAGCAGUCUGUUUUUUUCAUGGGCUCCGCUUUACUAGAAACUGUUUAACAGAGAAUUUUUCUUUAGAAUAUUGCUGCUUCAGAUAUUAUAGCUAAAGGGUCAGCCCUCUUCAAGUACCCAAAGCCUAAUUCCCUUGGAUAAUCUGACAAUAAUCCCUUUUCUACAAAAGCAUUUUGGUACCAUCCCUUGGCCUGGACCAUCAACCUCCUUCUCUCUUAAUGCCACCCAUCCUUCAGGGUCCACUCCAAGAUGACCACCCCAACUAUGCUCAGCCUUCCCAGAUGAUCGGAUUCCACACCACACCAAUGAUAACACCAAUAACAGCCUCUCUUUAUUGAGGGCCUACUCUUUGAGAGGUGCACUGUGCCAUCACUGCAGUUAAUCCUUAAAACUGCUAUUUCACAGAUGAUGAAAUUGAGGCUCAGAGAUGUUCAGUAGCUUGCCCAAAAUUACACAGCUUGUAAAUGACUAGGGGGCUGGCAGGCUAGGAUGUCUAAUUCCAAACCCCAUGCUUUCUCUAUAACUCCACAUUGCUACUUAUUUACUAUUUCUUUUUCCUAAAUAUGGUUUUCUCCCACAAGAGGCAUAGCUCAUGAUGGUCCAGUCCCUGAGGAAAGGAACAGCAGCAAGGCACAGAGCUCCUGCUUGGUGCUCAUGAGUGUCUGUCCCAGGCUGAAUGGGGGAUUGGGUGAGGGGAGAUACCCCUGCAUUGGUACCUGGGAAUUCUGGGAAUACCAGCUGCACUCCCCUGGAAUGCAAUAAAGACAUUUCUACCUUGAACACUAUUUCAGGUUUCAUUACAAACACUUAGGAGAUAUGGUUGUAUGGUGUUACCCUGGCUUCUAACGUAGCCAACUCAGUGUGAUUUGAUGGACGUAACUGCUAGGUUAGGAGAGCUUAGCAGCAAGGUAGACCUUCUGUGACUAGGAAUGUUGAGUUAUAGGAGAUUCUUCUUGAGAAAUAUUCAGAUUUCUGUCUUUCUUCUUUAUCCUCAUUACCUUAAGAUGGAUGACUGCUGGGAAGGACAACUGAGUACAAUUUCCCCGUUCAGGGAAUGUUCUGGAGGAAACACAACUCACUGAAAUUAAAAGAUGGCUUCUGCCACGGAAGCUCCAUGACUGAGGAUAAAAAACCCAAGCAGAGAAUGACCCAAGCUGAAACUGUCCAGGAACACGCUUUCUAUAAAGUAGCUCAUGAGUGUCAUGGUCACAGCCACUGUACAGACCUGUGUGGGUGACUCAGCAGUUCCCUGACUUGUGCAGCAAAUUCUCUAGAAGGAACUAAGUUAUAUCCCAACUUGUGGCUGUCUGAGUGACAUAAAAGGAGAAGUAAAAACACAAUUUUGAGAAAAACAGUAUGGAGUUGCCUUUGCUAACUCUGAUACAUAAAGCAGUUUCUAUUUUCUUUCCUUUCUAACUUCUCCUUCAGAGAAACAUCUUCUUUGUCUGAAUAUUUCUUUUUCUUCCUUUCUUUUUUGCAAUGGACAGAGUUUCUCUAGACUUCAAAGGGAGACAUGGGAGGGGAGAACUAGGUCUUAUCUUUCUGCCUCUUACAAUGUGCGGUUAAUAGAAUCUUAUUAGCAAGAAAGAAGAAUCACUGUACAAGAGAAAACACACCUGGAAAAUAUCCACACUUUAGUUUAUGAAGACUAUGUUUGGAAACCAAAACUGCAUGUUGUAUUAUCUUAUAUUUCUAAGUAGAUGCCUGAGAGAUGGGGGCCCCUGAAGGAGGAAAAAGGGGCAAGACUAUCAUCUUGUGUCCACUUGUACUUGGUUCCCUCAACCUCUCCCCACUUCAUCCUGGACAGAUGACACCCACGGAGAAGGACAUGCUGAUCUUCAGGAUUUUAGGCUUACAGUGCCUUCAAGAACCUUACAUCUGGACCACCAGAAAGAACCCCGAGUGCUUGUGACUGAGGAUGGAGUGGGGCAAGGUAGAAAUGUGAAGGAUGGUUUCCAACAACAUGCCCCCACCAGCCCAGGAUUCCUUCUGGUAGGCCAGAGCUGGAGGGACUGUUCACUCUUUUAUCACAAACUAGAGCUUCACUAGGAGAAAAAGUUAGAACAGGUCACUUACUCCCAGCCCAGAUCCAUGCAGCCUAAAAAUUCUGUUAAAGCAAAAAAGGAAAAUUGGAGGAUAAAAGGAAGAAAUAAAAGGAAUAAAGAGCAGGAGAGAGAGACUCAAUUUCAGAGUGAUCACACUGGAUACAGGUCAAGGUUCAAAAUACUAAAACUGUUUUUAAUGUUCCACUAAGUAGCAGCCUCUCAGUGCCUCUGACAAGUGAUUUAAGACAAGUGGUCUGCUCCCAAGGGGGCUCAUGAAUCUCCAUGCAUGACGGUUAGAUCGAGAGAGUCUGGAGUCACACAGUUGGAAAGGUGGCAAUGCAAAGGUCAGAAAUACAAGGGAGGAGUCCAUCCAUCAACCCUGACAGGCGGGCAUGCCCAGGACGGCAGAAGGGACAGGAGCCAUCUGGUAGCUUUGCUUGCAAGACCAGAUUAAGAAAGCACUAGCCCAGAAACCACAAAGGAGAAGAUGGAGCUGUAUUUCCGGAGGAAAAAGCAAAGACUUCUACCCAAAGCUGAGAAUAAUCAUCCCCUCUGCUCCACCUACUCCCUGAGAGAAUCAAGCUCACUCAAAAUGCCACCCACAGACUCAAGCCUGAAGAACAGAGCUGAAAACCUGGCACAGCACCUCUGAAAAAUUGUUCAGCACUGACCCUGGCCAAUGGAUGUGGAAAUCUCAUCUGUGGUCAAAAUCACCCUCACAGAUCAGGCCACAGAUGCAAAUCCAUUUUCUGCCAUGGUAUCCACAGACCUCAUCUACAGCUUUCUGAUGACUGGCUUUCAUUCUAAUUGAAAGGCCAACGAUAAGAUCCUGAUGGAAUUUUUCCUUAACAUUAAAAGCACAAAGGGGCACCUGGGUGGCUCAGUCAGUUAAGUGCCUAACUUCGGCUCAGGUCA